rnacentral:rRNA from 1 species
UACGGAGGGUGCGAGCGUUAAUCGGAAUUACUGGGCGUAAAGGGCACGCAGGCGGUCUUUUAAGUCAGAUGUGAAAGCCCCGGGCUUAACCUGGGAAUUGCAUUUGAUACUGGGAGACUAGAGUACUGUAGGGGGGGGUAGAAUUCCAUGUGUAGCGGUGAAAUGCGUAGAGAUGUGGAGGAAUACCGAAGGCGAAGGCAGCCCCCUGGACAAGGACUGACGCUCAGGUGCGAAAGCGUGGGGAGCAAACAGG